GAGGAGGAGAAUAGUGGUAAUAGUAGUAGUAGGAGGAGGAGGAAUAGUGGUAAUAGUAGUAGUAGGAGGAGGAGGAAUAAGUAGAGGAGGAAUAGUAGUAGUAGGAGGAGGAGGAGGAGGAAUAUUUGUAGAAUCUGCAUGUGUUUUGAAUCCUGAUAUGAAUACUGACAUGCACUAUAGGGAGAAAGAAGAGUUUAGUUCUAUAAAAGGAUUUAUCAUAAUAACAGCUUUAAUAAAGCUCGGUUUAUGGAUCCACUCCGCUAGCUCUUUUCUUUUUUUCUGAAUAAAGUGAAAUAUUUUAUUUCUGUCACCGGAUUGUUGUUGGUCUUCUAAACGUAAUGCCAAAUAUAAUGAUGUUUAUGAUGAUGACGUGUGUGUGUGUGUGUGUGUGUGUGUGUGUGUGUGUGUGUAUUUUUGUCUCUCGAACAGCUUGUUUCAGUGCACACAGCCUGCAAAGUUCAAUUAAACCCUGAGUCAGUUGUGAAGUGUGUAGG
ensembl:lncRNA